UGUCUUCUAAAUAAAGACCAGUAUGAAAGGCUAAAUGAACAUUUAACUGUCUUUUUUAACCAAUCAGUGAAAUUGAUCUCCCAGUACAAAAGCUGGGAUAAACCUAUAAGACGAGAAGACCCUGUGGAGCUUUAAAUUUUUACCAAAGUAUUUUUACCAAAAAUGCCUAUGCAAACAAAUUUUUAGUUGGGGCGACUUUGGAGAGAAGCAGAACCUCCAAGAAAUAAGGCAUAGCCUGCAUCUAGGCCUACUAGCCAAAACAAAUAAACGACCCAGUAUCACUGAUUAACGAACCAAGUUACCCCAGGGAUAACAGCGCCAUCUUCUUAAAGAGUUCAUAUCGACAAGAAGGCUUACGACCUCGAUGUUGGAUCAGGACACCCAAAUGGUGCAGCCGCUAUUAAAGGUUCGUUUGUUCAACGAUUAAUAGU
rnacentral:rRNA from 1 species